UAACAUUAUAAUAUCCUUUAAUCAUCAAAAACAGUACAAAAUUAAGAGUAAGACUUGGCUGAGUUAUUUGUGUGAAUAUGAAUACACUGUUUACCGCGGAACAGAAAUUAUGAAAAGUCUGGUUUUCUGGCUAUCAUAGGAUUCUUUGCUGCUUCAUAGUUCUUCCUAGGCAAGAAAUCAAAAUAGUUUGUUGGAUGUCGAUUAUGUGCAAAGCAAUUUGCUUGGUGUUAUGGGAUGAGGAGAGAAGAGCUCCUUUUCCAAAGUGGUUUCUGGGGUUUUUGCAGUAACUUUUUUCUGCCCUGCUCUAUAUGUUGCUGUCAGUUUAUCUUCCUAACACAGAUCCAACUUUUCUAUUUCUCUGUUGAAAAAAUUACAAGGUUCCUUAUCGUGUAAAGUGAAGGCCAAGUAUUCCUCAGCCACAUACAUAUUCAGAGUCCCUCACAAUUUAGUACCUUCUUUGACUUCUCUUUGGCUUCUCCUAACCCAGUGCUCAUUCUCUGCAUUCUCACCUCCUUGUUUGUGCUUGAGCCAUUUCCCACGGCUGGAAUGCCUUUUCUCAAUUUGCCUAAUAAGGUUUACCCAUUCUUCGAGAUGCUCUACAGAUUUCCUUGCUUCCAAAAAGCUUUCCCUCAUCCUUUUUACUUAGAAUUACUCUGCCUAAGGAGAAAAGUUAUAUUUUCUUUUUUUGUCUUUUGUCUUUUUGCUGUUGUUGUUGUUGUUGUUGCUAUUUCUUGGGCCGCUCCCGCGACAUGUGGAGGUUCCCAGGCUAGGGGUCGAAUCGGAGCUGUAGCUGCCAGCCUACGCCAGAGCCACAGCAACGCUGGAUCCGAGCCGCGUCUGCAACCUACACCACAGCUCACGGCAACGCCGGAUCGUUAACCCACUGAGCAAGGGCAGGGACCGAACCCGCAACCUCAUGGUUCCUAGUCGGAUUCGUUAACCACUGCGCCACGACGGGAACUCCAAAAGUUAUAUUUUCUUAUGAAGAAUUCUGAAUUCAAACUCUCUAGGGAUUCUUUUUAAGCAUUUGUAACCCUUUUGCAUUUGAGAUUUAUUUCUCCUUAAAAAUGUACUUGAAACCAGUUUUGCCAUUUCAAAGUUCUUUGGUUAAGAGAACCAGUUUAUUGGAGUUCCCACUGUGGCUCAGUGGAUUAAUGAUCCAGCUUAUUUCUGUGGAGGCACUGGUUCAAUUCCCAGCCUGUCACAGUGGGUUAAGGAUCCAGUGUUGCCACAGCUGUGGCAUAGGUCAUAGCUCUGGCUCUGAUUCAUCCUUGGCCGGGAAACUUGCUGAAGGUGUGGGUGGUGGUGGUGGUGGUGGUGGGGACACUGAAGACGGGAUGAUGACUGAUUUAUUGUCAUUUACUAACUGAAGAACAGUGCUCAGUAGAAAGGACCACUUCUUCUUCCCCUUCAUUGUUGAGUUUUUAGUACAUAUAUGAAUUGAUUUAAGCUGAUGGCUGAACUGCUUUGGUAGUAAUAAAUGGCUGUGGGACAUAAAUUCUGGUGACUUGGUGACCAGUUUUUCUUAAAAUUUUGUUCUCCCUAUUAUUUACUAAUAAGUAUUUCUCUUUUUUUUUUUUCUCCUGACAUAGUAAUGUCUUCAUGAGAUGAUGUUUAUUUUGAAUUUACCUCUUUGAGCUCCUGUUUGUCCAAUGAUUUUUUUUACUUAUUAACUAAAGGUUACAGAUUGGAAAAGGCAGGACUAAUGUAUAUAUUUAGGUUUUUGGAUUUUUUUUUUCUUUUAGAAUCAGGGUUCAUGUGAAUCAUCAGUGUUUGUGGAUUAUAGACAUUUUCUUGUGAUUUCCUGAUCUUAUAACCUGAAUGGUCAUUUGGGAUGUACUGAAAAUAUAAUUGGGAUUGACUUAAAUUUAAGGUUAAAAAAUGUAUCUUUGUGUCUUCUAUAACCUUGAUAUUAAGACACUGUUAUGUAUCCAAUUUUAGGUCUUUAUAAUAAUUAAAAAUCACUUUUCUUAUGUGUCUAAUAGAAACCCUUCCAAAAGGUUAUUAAUGUUACUAAUGGAUUAAAAGGGCAACCUGUUUUAAAUUGUUUUAUAGGAGGAAAAAUUAACAUUAUUUGUAAACUCUGGGCUUCAGUUUGAGGAGAAAUAAAACCAAGUAAUAGGGAGAAAAAUACUAAUUUUAUCCUAAUGAAUAUAUUUAAGACUUUUCCCCUUUAGUUGGACAUAUUUCUAUUCUUAAAUAUAAAUAAGUAAUCUUGUUGCAACAGGACUUUUGAUUUAUUAACUGUUUUGCAGGGAAAAAAAGUAACCAGGAUUAGAGAUGUGUAAAAUUAAUCUUCCUUCUGUCCUUGAAAAUUUUAAGCAACUGCUUCAUCCUCUAUUGAAUUAUUGUAAUCACCAAGGACUGUAAUUUCAAAACAGCAGUUUUAAUAAUCUAAAAGUGCUUUCUUCUGUAUUAUGUUUUUAGUAUUUAUCUAAUUUGAAAUUUCAUAUAUAGCUUUUAUUAGUAUUCUGGUUGUCCAGGGAGCAUAUUCAUUAAAGUCCUUUCAGCUUUAUGUGAUGGAUAAAGAUGUAAAUGCUCUUAACCAAAAAAAGAAAAUUUAUAUAUAAUUUAGUUGUUUAGAAUAGUGAGCUUUUAGGUGUAAAACACCUAAACAUAAACAGGAAUUCUUAUUUUAUAUUACUAAAAUUGUUUUUGGAUUCAUUACUCCGAAACAGUUGGUUUCAUUGUUUUACCUUUUAAACAGUUCUGCGCCUAAAUUCCUUUUUUUUCUAAUCUGCCAAGAAUAAAUAUGAGAGUUUAAAAUUAGUGGUGCCUUUACUUUGCAUGUCUUUGCUAUUUUUCAAAAUGACCCACGAGGAUUAAUUUCAAAUAUACAUGGGAACCCUUCUGACUGGUAGUGCACCUUUAAGAUACAGAUUUACCUGGGAUCUAGAACCAUUAUUCUAAUCUGUCCUUUGUAUUCUAUUUAUUUAGCUGAUCAGUACUAACAAACAGCUUAUUAGAAAGUUUUCAUGCCAAACUAUGUAGUUAGUGAGCAGUUACACUGUUACACUUAUUUUCUAACCUAAUUUGGUCGAAUAUAUAUAUUUUUUGGCCUAACAUUUUAAAGACAUAUCAAUUGUUUGCAAACUUGAAGGUUAGCAGUAAAUUAAGAUGUAACCUUACUGUGGCACCUACCUCAGGGUUAUUAUAUCUUUGCUAAAGGAAAACCAUCGAUACCCCUUUUACAGCAUACUCUGUAGUAAAUUCUUAUUUCUCCAACAUGAUAAAGAAUGGAAUAGUCUGCUUUACUGUGCACUGUGAUGGUUUAUUUUAUUAAUUUGGGAUUGUGUAAUUUACACUUGAUAUAUAUAUAUAGCAAUUAUCAGUUGACACUGACACUGUGUACAACACUAUAGAUAGAUUAGAUACACACAGAUGUAAUCUUGAGUUAUACAUAGUUCACAAUAUUACGUGAUGGUUUGAUUAUAUUAUUGGUAUAGAGAUUAUGUUCAAAGAAUUGAUCUUUUAUGCAUUGCUUUAUUUUUUUGUCCCAUUGAAAUUUCUCUUUAAUUUUGUCACUAGCUUAUCACGGUUUUUUGGCUUUAAAGGUGUGCAAAAUUAAGACAUGUUAGUCACUCAUUCUAUUGCCCCCCUGCCCCCACCUUCACAUUUAUCAAUUUUUUAUUUUAAAUUAUCUCAAGCUUGAUAUCUUUGUUUCUUUCGGCUAAAUUUGUGAUCAUAGCACUUUACCAAGUACAGGUUUAAUAUAAAUAUUCCGUUUUUUUCCUCUCCCAGGUAUUAUUCUCGUAAGUCAAUUUUUCCGUCACUGCACGUUGCUACUGGUCUGCCUGUCCCUUUCACUGCUUGACCUUUGCCUCUCACAUCUAGCCCGUGGGCAUUAUUUUCAUUUUUCUGUAGGUGCUCAGCCAGGUUACUUAAGUACACAGCCAGUCUUGGUCCUGACUUCCCUUGCCUUAGGCAAGAAUUUCCCACAUCAGUCUUAUAUUCUAAUAUCAAAAUGAUUUUCCUGCCUUUGAUUGGCUCCUUGACAUCUGCCACCCUAAAACCAAGCUCCGAACUCUCUGUUGGACUUUGCUUAUUACACCAUUUGCUUUUUCUUACACUCAUAUAUUCUUCUAUGUAAACUUCCUGCUUCUACUUUCCUACUCUUGAUUUUACAUGUAUUGUUCCUUAUACUUGCCAUCUUGUUUCUACUGUAUCUUUCAGAGAGCACCAAAAAAAAUAAUUAGAAAUAGAUGUUUGGAUUAGGUGACAAGCUAUUUUUUAGACCAUCUACAAAUACAUUAGUGUCUACUUACAUAAUUU
ensembl:lncRNA